AGAGCAUUCAUAUUCGGUUUCGCAUCUUCCCUUCAUCUCUAUAUUUUGGAGAAAGUUUUAGGGUUUUCAACCAAAACCUCUCUCCAUUCCAAUCCAUAAAAUAGGGAUGAAAUUUACAGAUGCUACAAUUGCUCCCUAUAUUUGGGAAACCAUUGUACAUCCCCAAAUCUGAUUUUGGUUCCUGGCCUAUCGUUGGUCCCUUGUCUUCUUCUCUCUCGACGGUUGGGUACCCUCCUCCGUAUUGUCCCUCUCUUGUAACACAGCCACCAUCGACUACAGCCUCUCCAUCGGCAAUUUUUGCAUAUUGAGUGGGGCUAUGAAUGGGUCUAGUCUAAGGCUGUGAUGAGUGGGGUUAAUUCAAAAGUGUUCAGGCAUGGGGCUCCAUUGAUAAGGUAGGGUAAUCUGAAUCAGGAUGGUGACCAAAGGCAACCGGGUUAAUGGUUUUGCUGCCAUUUGAGAUUGAGCUCCUGUAUUACGCAUGCUGUAAAUAAAUAAAAACAAUUCUGAACCCCAUGGAACACCGUUCUUUUAUGGAAGUGGACGAGAAUACUCUUAUAUUAGACCAUGUUCUGUUUUUAAUCCAUUACUCAUUUAUGUUUUGAGGAA